UCCCUCCUCCCUCCCCACUUUCCUUCUCCACAGCUUUUGCCCUAAAGCCAAUGAAAUACGAAGCAUGUCCAUAAGAUGUCUCCUUGAGGUUGGCCAAGUGUCGCGAGUGCUUUCCAGUCCUGCAGCCACACUGUAGCUGCGAGUGAGCUGCAGCCACAUACGUGCAUCACUUCACAUCACGCACACAUCGUUCCAGAAUCCUCUUCACAACAACCCACAGCAGCUGGCCUGGAGUGGCCACUGACAGGCCAUCAGUGGACACAUGAAGUCUGAUAGCUGAACAUGGGUGAGGGUCCUCAUGCUCCAUCAUGUGGAGUGCCGAGCCUAGAGCAGAAGUCAUGGAGCAGCAGCCAGCAGGGUGGAUGUGACAUCCAGGGAGAAGAUGGAGGAGGACCUCCCUCUCCAUGGAA
rnacentral:lncRNA from 1 species